rnacentral:snRNA from 1 species
AUGCUCGCUUUCACAGCACAUGUUCUAAAAUUGGAACGAUACAGCAGACCAACACGACAACCCCUGCUUAACCAUGAAACAUAAACUAGGGAAAUAUUCUGUGUUUUA